GCGUCGGUGGGGUAUCUGGAAACCCGCAGCCUAUCAAUAACAUGACGGAAUACCUACUACCUGCUAGGCUGUGCCCGGGGUUCGACUCCCCGUCGAUGCA